rnacentral:rRNA from 1 species
UACAGAGGGUGCGAGCGUUAAUCGGAAUUACUGGGCGUAAAGCGUGCGUAGACGGUUAUUUAAGUCGGGUGUGAAAGCCCCGGGCUCAACCUGGGAAUUGCAUUCGAGACUGAAUAGCUAGGGUACGGUAGAGGGAAGUGGAAUUUCCGGUGUAGCGGUGAAAUGCGUAGAUAUCGGAAGGAACAUCGAGUGGCGAAAGCGGCUUCCUGGACCAGCACCGACGUCAGGCACGAAAGCGUGGGGAGCAAACAGGA